rnacentral:rRNA from 1 species
UACGUAGGGGGCAAGCGUUGUCCGGAAUCAUUGGGCGUAAAGAGCGUGUAGGCGGCCCGGUAAGUCCGCUGUGAAAGUCCAGGGCUCAACCCUGGGAUGCCGGUGGAUACUGUCGGGCUCGAGUCCGGAAGAGGAGUGUGGAAUUCCUGGUGUAGCGGUGAAAUGCGCAGAUAUCAGGAGGAACACCGGUGGCGAAGGCAGGUCUCUGGGCAUUAACUGACGCUGAGGAGCGAAAGCAUGGGGAGCGAACAGG